GAACACGUCUCUUGUCUUCUUGACUGAUUCCCAGGAGCCAGUCUAACAAAGAGGGUGUGGCUCCGACAAAAUAUCCAUCUCACAAGAGGGUUUCGUGUACAGCUGAUUUUAUCCCCUACAAACUGGUGUCAGAAGUUUUUGGGGUGCAUUUGAACGGAAUGAAAAAGAUCAGGUAAGAGGGUUAGGUGUCUAUUUGACCUUUGUUCUUUUCUUUUUCUUUUUCCAUCCUUUAUACAUUGCAUAGAUACGUUUUUAUUCAAAGGGGAUUUUCACUUUUUAGGUUUUAAUAUGGUAUCACUCCUUGGGUAGGAGGAGAGCCUUUGUGUAUAAUUGUCUAUGGGAGACGUCCCUAGAUCCCUAUUUGAACGAGGUUGCCUUUGGCAGGUUGUAAAACAGAUUUUCAGUCUUUGGUGGACUGUGUUUUUAUAUAACGUACAUGUAAAUUUGGCAGGCUAAAAUGGUUUAGAAAAAAAAAAAAAAGACGGAAUUGUUUUAACUCUGUACUUGAUGGGUAUUUUGGCUGUCCUGCAACCUCUGUUUUGCAUGCGAUAUAUCUGUUGGCUUUUGUGGGGUUUUUUAUAUAACCGUGCAAGGGAUUGGAAUUUCUGGUUUUCAGCGAUACAGCUCGUGGAGAAGUAUCAGUUUUGUGGGAACUUUUGAUUCCAGACAGCUGUUCUUUAACCACCGAAUAAUCAGCUAUUCCAAAUCCAAUUCUCAUUGAGUUUGAAAUGGGUACUUCCCAGUCUAAAAAAUACCCUCGCACUAAUCCAGGGGAGACUUGCAAACAGUAUUUUGCUAGAAUUGGUGAACUGGGGAAUUAUUUAGUGGAUCCUUGGGUGGACAAUAUGUCAGGGUGGACACAAGGACAGGGUAGUUAAACUCCCUUCCCUAAAGACGGGGCUAAUGAUGAUUAUUUUCUGAGUUUGGUUAAGGGAUUAUGUUUGGGAGAUAAGAAAUCUUUUCCUUGGUAUGAGGGAGAUCCAGGAUGGGACAAGGAAUACAUGAGACAGGGGGGUGAGAAUUGGCUCACUGGUACCCUGUUUCCCCAGAGGGGAAAGGGAUAAAAAAGAAUAAAAAGAAUAUUAAAGAGAAUGUUGUUGAUACCUGCAAAUCACUGCCCCCUCCUAAUUACACUAAUUACUAUUGUAAACCAUUUCAUCUUUAUGCAAGGGACAACUGUAAAACCAUGGCUGCGGUCUGUGCUCAGGAACAUGGAGGUGGUAUGCGUCCUGUAGCAUUUUUCUCCAAAGUAGUCCCUGUUCCGGUUCAGGGGAUGCCGGCGUGUCUUAGGGCCCUGGCUGCUUGUGCAAUGGCUGUUGAGACUGAUACUACUAUCACUCUGGGCCAUCCCACUAUUCUCCAUACAUCACACCAAGUGUUACAUUUGAUCAAGAAUCUCACUACACAACACAUGACAGCACAAAGAUUAAGUGGUUAAGGCCCUGGGGAGAUAGCGCAGCUAAGCGGACAAGGGCACAUGUAGGAAUGUGGGGAUAGAUGCAUGGGAUUGGUUGGAAAAGAGAGCGUGUGGGUGGGAUUAUGUUCUGUGUAAGUUAGUGUGGGGGAGGUCUUACCUCAGUGCCACUUGGGAUUCGGACCAGCAAACAGCCUCCUGUCCUCCAGCUGCUGUUUGCCUGGGCCUGCAGAUUUACACAGCUUGAGGGAUGGAUGUUGAGGUGAUCCGGUUGUCCCUCGGGGCUGCUGCAGCGUCGAUGGUGGCCGGCACCUAAGGGAGCAAUUCCAGAGCAUUACUGGAGGUAUGGCUACCGGUGUGGGCACCCCCCGCGGCCUACCUCCCCCUGGAGCACCCCCUGCGGUCUCCCCUGCUGCCUCCCAUGUGGCCCAUGCCCCUGGGGGCCGCACCAGCACUGGCAGGCGUUCCCGCCCGCCUGCCAGGCUGUCACUGGAUCCUACUCCCCGGGCACGGUUGAGGAGCAGGAGCCUGGGACCAGGGCACCGCGGGUGCCGCGUGUCUGGGGCUCCAGGCACGCGGCCUACUACUGAGGGCCGGGAUUUGAGGCCUACUGCGGCCACGAGGCCUGCCACUGCCGCGCGGCCUGCUACCCCCAUGGCUGCCCGGCCGGCUACUUCCAGGCCGGGGAUGCGGCCGCCGUGCGGCAUUCUCAAGCUCCCCCCUCCACACCGUCCGCCCCGGCCGCCAGCCUGGGAUUGUGGGCCGGGGGCGGUGGGCGGCAGAUCCGGCGAUCUGUGCAGGUCCCUCGUACCUUGUACCGCCGUGGGGGUCUGGGAGGGUCCCCUUGCCCAUCGGGAGCCUCCUCUGCCAGUGAGGAAGGCUCCCAGGGCUCUGUCUCCCCUUCCCUCCCUGUUAGUGCUACUGUAUUUUCCUUUUCUUCUGGGGGGCCCAGCUUACACUUGCCUGGUCCCCCCUCCUCUUGCCCAGUUUUUCUCCCCUCUCUGGUGGGCCUGCACCCCCCCCUCACCUCUCUGGUGGGCCUGCAUCCCCCCCCUCCUGCUCUAAUCCUCCCCCCUCUCUAUCCCUCCCUACCUGCAUCCUCUCUGUUCUCCCCCCUCUCCUUUCCCCUCUAGCUUGCCUGAACCCCCCUCCCCACCCCCCCGCAGGUCACUUACCUCAGCCAUCUCCUCUGGGGCGUGGGCUGAUCUCUGCUGCUUCUUCCCAGGAUACUGCUGCAGUUCGUGGAUCCGUCCAGCAGGUGGCGUCUGGAUCACAGCUGAUGUCUUCUGUGGAUGCUGGAACUGCUGUUUCUUUGCCUCAGCCUUCUGUGAGCGCAGUGCCGGGCUUGGAUCACCAGGCUGCAACCG